UACAGAGGUCUCAAGCGUUGUUCGGAUUCAUUGGGCGUCAAGGGUGCGUAGGCGGCGAGGCAAGUCUGGUGUGAAAUCCCGGGGCUCAACCCCGGAACUGCACUGGAUACUGCUUUGCUAGAGUACUGGAGAGGGAACUGGAAUUUACGGUGUAGCAGUGAAAUGCGUAGAUAUGCGGAGGAACACCAAUGGCGAAGGCAAUCUCCUGGACCUGCACUGACGCUCAUGCACGAAAGCGUGGGGAGCAAACAGG
rnacentral:rRNA from 1 species